rnacentral:lncRNA from 1 species
AUAUGUGUAUGAUGCCUCAUCCUUCGGUGCUUUGGAUGUAGCCUGUCUAGAGAGAAAAAAUGGUUGAGAGUUCGCUGGCAAUUCAUUUGUUUGUGGUGCCGCAUUUACUGUUUCUUAUCAUGCGUUUUCUGAUCAAUGUUGCCAUUCAAGUGCACAGGUUUCGGUAAUGACAUUUCUAGAAGUUAAAAUAAUUGUUUGCAAACAUAGCCUAACUGCACUCCUCAUAGGUUAAACUCCCACACUAGUAGAAAGCCACAUUUUAGAGCUGAAAGAUGAUUUCCAGAGCUUAUCCAUGAUGUUGCACAACAAUAGAUAACAAUCAAAGUGUGGCUUCAGUUGUAGAAAUGUUGCUAUUGCACGGCAACAAUAAAUCAACAGAGCACAGUUUCUGAAGCACCUGACAUACCGUCAGCAUCCAGUGGCCCCUCAAGAGCACCCAGAGGCCCUUAAACAGCGGCCAGUGGCCCCUGAAGAUAAUAAUUCCAUCCUCCUGAUUCCUGCUUACAAGCAACAAUUAAAGCAGGAAGCACCAGUGACUAGACCAAUAAAAAAGUGGUCAGAUGAAGCAGAUGCUGAGCUACAGGACUGUUUUGCUAGCACAGACUGGAAUAUGUAACGGGAUUCCUCCAAUGGCAUUGAGGAGUACACCACGUCUGUCAUUGGCUUCAACAAUAAGUGCAUCGAUGACGUCGACCCCACAGUAACCAUACGUACAUACCCCAACCAGAAGCCAUGGAUUACAGGCAGCAUCCGCACUAAGCUAAAGGCUAGAGCUGCCGCUUUCAAGGAGUGGGACUCUAACCUGGAAGCUUAUAAGAAAUCCUGCCAUGCCCUUCGACGAACCAUCAAACAGGCAAAGCAUCAAUACAGGACUAAGAUCGAGUCGUAAUACAUCGGCUCUGACGCUCGUCGGGUGUGGCAGGGCUUGCAAACCAUUACAAACUACAAAGGGAAGCACCGCCGAGAGCUGCCCAGUGACACGAGCCUAUCAGACGAGCUAAACUACUUCUAUGCUUGCUUCGAGGCAAAUAACACUGAAACAUGCAUGAGAGCACCAGCUGUACCGGAAGACUGUGUGAUCACGCUCUCUGCAGCCGAUGUGAG